GGCUAACUCCGUGCCAGCAGCCGCGGUAAUACGGAGGGUGCGAGCGUUAAUCGGAAUUACUGGGCGUAAAGCGCAUGCAGGUGGUUCGUUAAGUCAGAUGUGAAAGACCCGGGCGUCUAACCUCGGAAUUGCAUUUGAAACUGGCAGACUAGAGUACUCGUAGAGGGGGGUAGGAAUUUCACGGUGUAGCGGUGAAAAUGCGUAGAGAUCUGAAGGAAUACCGGUGGCGAAGGCGGCCCCUCGGACAGAUACUGACACUCAGAUGCGAAAGCGUGGGGAGCAAACAGGAUUAGAUACCCUGGUAG
rnacentral:rRNA from 1 species